UUGAUGCUUUUUGAAUGUCUAACAUAUGUCAGGCUCUAUGUGAAGUGUUGGACCCUGACCAAUUCUUUUAAUCAUCCUAGAACAACCCUUCCUUUCUCCUGAAAAAUGCUAUUACCAUCAUCCCCUUUUUGUAGAUGAGGAAACUGAAAUUUAUAGAGAGGUUAAGAAAGUUCACCAUGGAAAUUUCAGACUCUUUCUGAUGCAAAUGACAGAAAGCCUGACUCAAACUGGUUUAUGCCAAGAAGAGAAUUUACUGGCUCGGGGAAACUGAAGGAGUCUCAAAAACAUCAUAAACACUGAAUCCUUCCACUCUGCCAUGAGCGGUCUUCUGGGGCUCCAGGUUCAUAACAUCCCAAAUUCCAGAUAAGGAAACUGAGGCCCAGAGAGGUUAAGCAUCUUGCCCAAGGUUUGCAAUCAGUGGAGCAGGAAUUUGAAUGUAGGAAGUCUGGUUCCAGAGCCCACACUGCCUAUCACUCCACCAGCCUUCCACUGGGCUGCCCCAGCAGCAUUGGCCACCUCCAGCAGUGAAAGCAGGGUGAGGCUGACCAGGACACCUUAACUGAGGAACCAGGAGAGCUCAGUGGAUUGAGUGAAAGGCCCAGGAGAGCCUCAGUUUUGUCAUCUGAAGGAGGUUUUGUCAUGAGGAACAUGAGAUGCUAUUAUGUGACAGUGCCAAGCAAGUCGAAGAUGCUUCAGGAUGAAUGGGAAGGGGACACACGUAUAGAGUGAUGAUGAUGUAAAGAGACACUGGGAGAAGAUGGUCAUCUACAAGCCAAGGAGAGAGGCCUGGAACAGACCCCUUCCUGCACAGCCUCCAGCAGGAACCAACCACGGUGACAUCUUGAUCUUGGACUUCUAGACCUCAGAACUGUGAGACUAUUAAGUUUCUGUUUAAGCUGCUCAGUCUGUGUACUUUGUUAUGGCCGCCCUAGUAGGCUCUUAUGGCAGCCCUAGCUCAAGUGAAUACAGUUGCUGAGGCCCUUCAGCUCUUAGUCUAUGGGAUUCUUUCCUGCCAUUCCUUGGUGGUUUCUUCUGCCCCACAUGGCCUUUCUGUUGCCCUCUCCCAGUGAGUAAAUGACAUCAUGUGUGUGAAGUACUUAGCACAAUGCCCCACAUAUAGUUACUCUUCACUAUAUAUUAACCAUGAUGAGUCCCCAGUGCCUGGGUAUGACUUGUACCUACCCUGAGAGCUAUUGCGCCAAAAUGAGAGGUGUGGGUGCUGAGCCCAGGCCCUCAUGGUCACUCAUGCCUUCAUUACUGAAGCCUUUCCCAUCCCCCUUGGCAGCUUUUAAAUGGAAGAGUAUUAAAUUGGCACCUUCCAGGAGCCUAACUCUUUUUCAUGGAAAGUUCAUUUUGGCCACAAAGCCAGCAGGACUCAAAAGAGACUGCAGAGGCUCAGAAUGGGAGAUGGUUUCUCUGUCCUUGGACUCAGUGAUCCCCGGGGUCAUGAAGAGCUGCAGAACUCUGAGGUUAAGGCCCUGCUUUUCUAUUUGCCUAAUAAGGAUGCCCCUUGGCUGCAGCAUAGUGGAUAAGGCUUAACUACAGGCGCAGCCAGAGCUUAUGCUCCCAGACAACAAGGCGCUGCCCUCCUCCUUGGUCCUCCAUCCCCCCUUCUGCUUCUUUUCUAGCUCUCGGAAUGAAUACUCCACUGUACUGAGAGAUGGCAUGGGGAUGAUGUCCUGCUUUCUUCCUGGCUCCUAAGUCCAUAGGUCUCUGGAGGCCAUAGCACCUGGUCCUCCAGCUGCAAUCUCAGGCUGGCUGGGAGAGUCUGAUUUUCCUUUUCAUGAUCAGGAGUGCUUUCAAAAAGCACUGUAGCCUUGAGCAUUGAAGCAGGAUCACAGAAUGAGCCUUGAGUCUUCUCUGGGCAGUGACACUGGUCCAGGAUAGAAAGUCCUAGGUUGUCCUCUAGGCACUAUGUUGGAGAGCUAAGUUGCCCUGACUUCACAGAAGAUUCCAGAUUUACUAUAUUUUGGAGACUCUGCAGAAAGUUACGUGGGUAGAGUCUGACUUCAACAGCCCGCAAACAUGACCUUUGGGUUUGCUAAACAGAUGAAAUGCCCAUGCUUGUGUGGUUUAUCUUCAAAUAUAUGCCUGGAGAUUUCUGAGAACAAGGAGGGGGAGAGAGGGUGUGGGAUUUUACUUCAGGCCUUCGGGGCCAGGGAAGGAAGGAGGAGAAACCAUUUGGGGGGAAAAACAUCUCUCCACAAUGUCCAUAUACUUUAUAUUUGAUCCCUUCAAGCUGCCUCUUAUCCUGGUUUGGCUCAGAGCCCAGAAGGGAGGCUCCUUCAAUAAUUCUGAGCUUAGAACAUCUGCCUUUCCCUAAAAAUAAGUAAAUAAAUACAAAUCUGUAAAUAUUUACUUUCCAGCCAGAGCAAAAAUACUGUCAACAGUACUGCCUAGUGGUCUGUAAAGAUCACCUCUGAUGCGUUAUACCAGCCUAAGGGUCUAACCCUUCCAGGUCUUGAGGAGCCUGCUUCCUAAGUUACUUAUUGUAAAAGUCAGGAUUGUUGACCUUUUUCUUAGGUGUACCCUGUCCGUGUCAGAGAAAUGCUCUUUUGAUGGAAAGUAGAGCACGGUGAAUGAGGCUCAAAACAAUCUGGUUCUUGCUUCCUUCUUCUGAGAGGUCGCACCCCUCCCCUGUUUACAUGCUCAGCUCCAGCCACACCAAAUGACCUGGAGUUCCAUGAAUGCGGCCCUGCCUAUGCACGUGCUAUUCCCUGUACUUGGCAUGGUUCUCUGGCUUAUUCCCCUCUAACCCCAAUUGAACAGGCAUGCUCAGGCCCAGGCUCACCUUCUCUAGGAAAGUUUCCUUGUUAUCUCCCCUUCUUUCCCACCUCCAAGACUUCUUGGCUUCCACAGCACCCCAUAUAGACCAGAGUCAUGGAGUUAUGGUGCUGUAUAGAUUCCAUAUGUGUUUACUUGUCCGCUU